UGAUUGGUAAGGAUACUACCACACAGACAAUGUCCUUUGUAGUUCCAUCAACUGGUGAGGUGAAGGUUGCAAUGGCUGUAAAUUCAGGAACUCCAAGAGAUUCUAAUACUCAGCCAGGAAAGAAGUUAUGCAAAUAUUGCAAGAAGGAAGGGCAUAUACUAGAAGAUUGUACGAAGUUAAAGUGGAAGAAACAACAAGAACAAAAAUGUCAAUGUAGGAAAUGUUGCUACUCC
rnacentral:lncRNA from 1 species